rnacentral:lncRNA from 1 species
UCCGGAUCUGCCCCGGCUUGCUUGUGAAGGGUCAGGAGGUCUUUCUGCUCCUGCCUUCGCUGGAGGCGAUGUCAGCGAAGCUCUUGCGGGUAUGAAUGGGACUGAUCAUGUUCCUGGUGUCACACACUGCCCGUGAUGGGCGGCAGAGCCAGUUUUUCUGCUCUGAAAGCGGGGCUGGGGAGGGGACCGCAACACUCAAAUACCCAGAUCCCUGGUAGCUGCCAGCCAGGCAUCGAGGAGGCCACUUGCCUUUUCCAGCUCCAGCUGUGACGGUCUUGUGCACCAGGCCUCUUUGGCUUCUCUGAAAUGUCAGCAAUCCUGAAAUGGUUUGGACGGGAAGAUAAGGAGAAAGAGGACAAGGAAAAGGACAAGGAAAAAGAGAAGGAAGAAGAGAAGAAAAAGACUGAGGAAGAAAAACAGAAGGAGGAGGAGAAGACUAAGGAAGAAAAACAGAAGGAGAAGGAGAAGGAAAAGACUGAGGAAGACAAGGAGAAGGAGAAGACUGAGGAAGAAAAACAGAAGGAGAAGAAGGAAGAACAACACAAGGUGAAGGAGAAGGAGGAGAAGGAGAAGGAGAAGGAAAAGACUGAGGAAGACAAACAGAAGGAGAAGGAAGAAAAACAGAAGGAGAAGGAGCAGGAGAAGGAGCAGGAGAAGGAGAAGGAAAAGACUAAGGAAGAAAAACAGAAGGAGCAGGAGAAGGAGCAGGAGAAGGAGAAGGAAAAGACUAAGGAAGAAAAACAUAAGGAGAAGGAGCAGGAGAAGAAGCAGGAAAAGACUAAGGAAGAAAAACAUAAGGAGAAGGAGCAGGAGAAGAAGAAGGAGCAGGAGAAGGAGAAGGAAAAGACUAAGGAAGAAAAACAGAAGGAGCAGGAGAAGGAGAAGGAGAAGGANAGAAGAAGAAGAAGAAGGGAGAGAAAAAGGUAGGGAAAUGAUGGAGUUUUCUGCAGAUCAGCUGCUGAACCAUUUGCCAGAGGGUUUCCAGCCCCGAUGGCCCCAGCACAGUGCUCAAGGUGAGCCCAGCACCUCCCAAACCAUCUGAUGCCAGGGGCCAUGCGGGGCUCCCCUUGGACUAACUGUGCCACUGGCUGUGGGGCACCCUGAGCACCCUGCCCAGCAUGCAGU